UUAGAAGCAACGCGAAGAACCUUACCAGGUCUUGGCAUCCUUUGACCACUCUAGAGAUAGAGCUUCCCCUUCGGGGGCAAAGUGACAGGUGGUGCAUGGUUGUCGUCAGCUCGUGUCGUGAGAUGUUGGGUUAAGUCCCGCAACGAGCGCAACCCUUAUUGUUAGUUGCCAUCAUUUAGUUGGGCACUCUAGCGAGACUGCCGGUGACAAACCGGAGGAAGGUGGGGAUGACGUCAAAUCAUCAUGCCCCUUAUGACCUGGGCUACACACGUGCUACAAUGGGAAGUACAACGAGUUGCGAAGUCGCGAGGCUAAGCUAAUCUCUUAAAGCUUCUCUCAGUUCGGAUUGUAGGCUGCAACUCGCCUACAUGAAGCCGGAAUCGCUAGUAAUCGCGGAUCAGCACGCCGCGGUGAAUACGUUCCCGGGCCUUGUACACACCGCCCGUCACACCACGAGAGUUUGUAACACCCGAAGUCGGUGAGGUAACC
rnacentral:rRNA from 1 species